ACAGGUCUGAGGCCACAGCAGAAGCAUUCAUGGUGCGACCAUGUCAGGUUCCAACGAAACUGCAAAUUCUGCU
rnacentral:lncRNA from 1 species